AUUGAACGCUAGCGGGAUGCUUUACACAUGCAAGUCGAACGAGUGGCGGACGGGUGAGUAAUAUAUCGGAACGUGCCCAGUAGCGGGGGAUAACUACUCGAAAGAGUGGCUAAUACCGCAUACUAUUGGAGCGGCCGAUAUCGGAUUAGCUAGGUGGUGGGGUAAAGGCUCACCAAGGCAACGAUCCGUAGCUGGUUUGAGAGGACGACGGGAAAAACUGGGACUGAGACACGGCCCAGAGGGGGGAGGGAGGGGGGAGGGGGGGGGUGGGGAGAGGGGGGGAAACCCUGAGGCAGCCAUCCCGCGUGUAUGAGAGUGGGGUCGGGUGGGACGGUACUUUUGGCAGAGAAGCGGUAUCUGCACAAUAAGCACCGGCUAACUACGUGCCAGCAGCCGCGGUAAUUC
rnacentral:rRNA from 1 species